CUAAACGAUGAAUGUUAGUCGUCGGGUAGCUAGUCUAUUCGGUGAUGCAGCUAACGCAUUAAACAUUCCGCCUGGGGAGUACGGUCGCAAGAUUAAAACUCAAAGGAAUAGACGGGGACCCGCACAAGUGGUGGAGCAUGUGGUUUAAUUCGAAGAUACGCGAAGAACCUUACCUAGCCUUGACAUAUUUAAGAACACUUUAGAGAUAGAGUGGUGCCUUCGGGAGCUUUUAUACAGGUGCUGCACGGCUGUCGUCAGCUCGUGUCGUGAGAUGUUGGGUUAAGUCCCGCAACGAGCGCAACCCUCGUCACUAGUUACUAACGGUUCGGCCGAGGACUCUAGUGAGACUGCCUUCGCAAGGAGGAGGAAGGUGAGGACGACGUCAAGUCAUCAUGGCCCUUACGGCUAGGGCAACACACGUGCUACAAUGGCCAGGACAAUGAGAGGCAAUACCGCGAGGUGGAGCAAAUCUAUAAACCUGGUCUCAGUUCGGAUAGCAGUCUGCGACUCGACUGCUUGAAGCUGGAAUCACUAGUAAUCGUAGAUCAGCUAUGCUACGGUGAAUACGUUCCCGGGUCUUGUACUCACCGCCCGUCACACCAUGGGAGUUGAUUCACCCGAAGCGGGGAAGCUAAACUGGCUACC
rnacentral:rRNA from 1 species